rnacentral:tRNA from 1 species
GCGUAGAUAGUCAAGUGGCAACGACAAGAGACUGUAAAUCUCUCCUCAUUCGAGUUCGGUGGUUCGAGUCCAUCUCUACGCA